rnacentral:rRNA from 1 species
GACGAACGCUGGCGGCGUGCUUAACACAUGCAAGUCGAACGGAAAGGCCCUGCUUUUGUGGGGUGCUCGAGUGGCGAACGGGUGAGUAACACGUGAGUAACCUGCCCUUGACUUUGGGAUAACUUCAGGAAACUGGGGCUAAUACCGGAUAGGAGCUCCUGCUGCAUGGUGGGGGUUGGAAAGUUUCGGCGGUUGGGGAUGGACUCGCGGCUUAUCAGCUUGUUGGUGGGGUAGUGGCUUACCAAGGCUUUGACGGGUAGCCGGCCUGAGAGGGUGACCGGCCACAUUGGGACUGAGAUACGGCCCAGACUCCUACGGGAGGCAGCAGUGGGGAAUAUUGCAAAAGGGGCGGAAGCCUGAUGCAGCAACGCCGCGUGCGGGAUGACGGCCUUCGGGUUGUAAACCGCUUUCGCCUGUGACGAAGCGUGAGUGACGGUAAUGGGUAAAGAAGCACCGGCUAACUACG